CGACCGCCACAGGGCCUCCCGCCCCGUGGCCAAGGCCACACGGACAGCCGGGUCGAAUGCCGA
rfam:Firmicutes bacterium CAG:114 genomic scaffold, scf34